UACAGAGGUGCCAAGCGUUAGGCGGAAUCACUGGGCUUAAAGGGCGCGUAGGCGGGCACGCAAGUCAGGGGUGAAAUACUCCAGCCCAACUGGAGAACAGCUUUUGAUACUGCGUGCCUCGAGGGGGGUAGGGGCAUGUGGAACUUCCGGUGGAGCGGUGAAAUGCGUAGAUAUCGGAAGGAACGCCGGUGGCGAAAGCGACGUGCUGGACCCUUUCUGACGCUGAGGCGCGAAAGCGUGGGUAGCAAACGGG
rnacentral:rRNA from 1 species